rnacentral:lncRNA from 1 species
GUGGCAGGGAGGGGAUAUCUGUCUCCUACAAGGAGAAGGUGUGACGGCAACCUCAGGAAGGGAGCUUUCAAGUACUGUCCUUUGGCCAGUGAACACGAUCUCUGUUUUGCCAGCCUCACGACUAACAGACCUUCUGUCUCAAAGAAUGAAAAAGAAAUUGCCAGGUGAAAGUUACUGAACUGGGGAAAUACCAAGCCCUGCUCAAAUGUGCCAUUGAAAUCAAGGAUGUCGGUCUUCCUGUCUGCAGGGGAACUGGACCGGCAUGUGAAGUCUGCGUGCUAGGACCUGGCAGGACCCCGCUCGGAGCAAGGACUCGCCUGCCCAGGGAAGCAGAGGGCAUC